ACUCAAAUGAAUAGACGGGGGCCCGCACAAGCGGUGGAGCAUGUGGUUUAAUUCGACGCAACGCGAAGAACCUUACCUACCCUUGACAUCCUCGGAAUCCAGCAGAGACGUUGGAGUGCCUGAAAGGGAGCCGAGAGACAGGUGCUGCAUGGCUGUCGUCAGCUCGUGUCGUGAGAUGUUGGGUUAAGUCCCGUAACGAGCGCAACCCCUAUUUUUAGUUGCUAGCAGGUAAAGCUGAGAACUCUAGAGAGACUGCCGGUGAUAAGCCGGAGGAAGGUGGGGAUGACGUCAAGUCCUCAUGGCCCUUACGGGUAGGGCAACACACGUGCUACAAUGGGCGGUACAAAGGGAAGCGAAGCCGCGAGGUGAAGCGAAUCUCAAUAAAGCCGUUCGUAGUCCGGAUUGGAGUCUGCAACUCGACUCCAUGAAGUUGGAAUCGCUAGUAAUCGCGGAUCAGAAUGCCGCGGUGAAUACGUUCCCGGGCCUUGUACACACCGCCCGU
rnacentral:rRNA from 1 species